rnacentral:rRNA from 1 species
CCUACGGGAGUCUGCAGUGAGGAAUAUUGGUCAAUGUACGGAAGUCUGAACCAGCCAUGCCGCGUGCAGGACGACGGCUCUUUGAGUUGUAAACUGCUUUUGUACAGGGGUAAACCUGAAUACGUGUAUUCAGCUGAAAGUACUGUACGAAUAAGGAUCGGAUCACUCCUUUCCAGCAGCCGUGGUAAUACGGAGUAUCCAAGCGUUAUCCGGAUUUAUUGGUUUUAAAGGUUGCGUAGGCGGUUUGAUAAGUUAGAGGUGAAUGGUCCGAGCUUAACUCGGGAACUGCCUAUAAUACUGUUGAGCUAGAGAGUAGAUGCGGUAGGAGGAAUGUAUGGUGUAGCGGUGAAAUGCUUAGAGAUCAUACAGAACACCGAUUGCGAAGGCAGCUUACCAAUCUAUAUCUGACGUUGAGGCACGAAAGCGUGGGGAGCAAACAGGAUUAGAUACCCGGGUAGUC